GUGCCAGCAGCCGCGGUAAUACGUAGGCGGCAAGCGUUAUCCGGAAUUAUUGGGCGUAAAGCGCGCGUAGGCGGUUUUUUAAGUCUGAUGUGAAAGCCCACGGCUCAACCGUGGAGGGUCAUUGGAAACUGGAAAACUUGAGUGCAGAAGAGGAAAGUGGAAUUCCAUGUGUAGCGGUGAAAUGCGCAGAGAUAUGGAGGAACACCAGUGGCGAAGGCGACUUUCUGGUCUGUAACUGACGCUGAUGUGCGAAAGCGUGGGGAUCAAACAGGAUUAGAUACCCUGGUAGUCAAGGGCG
rnacentral:rRNA from 1 species